rnacentral:rRNA from 1 species
AUUGAACGCUGGCGGCAUGCCUUACACAUGCAAGUCGAACGGCAGCAUAGGAGCUUGCUCCUGAUGGCGAGUGGCGAACGGGUGAGUAAUAUAUCGGAACGUGCCCUAGAGUGGGGGAUAACUAGUCGAAAGACUAGCUAAUACCGCAUACGAUCUGCGGAUGAAAGUGGGGGAUCGCAAGACCUCAUGCCCCUGGAGCGGCCGAUAUCUGAUUAGCUAGUUGGUGGGGUAAAAGCUCACCAAGGCGACGAUCAGUAGCUGGUCUGAGAGGACGACCAGCCACACUGGGACUGAGACACGGCCCAGACUCCUACGGGAGGCAGCAGUGGGGAAUCUUGGACAAUGGGGGCAACCCUGAUCCAGCAAUGCCGCGUGAGUGAAGAAGGCCUUCGGGUUGUAAAGCUCUUUUGUCAGGGAAGAAACGGUUCUGGAUAAUACCUGGAGCUAAUGACGGUACCUGAAGAAUAAGCACCGGCUAACUACGUGCCAGCCGCCGCUGUAA